rnacentral:ncRNA from 1 species
UUGGUUUCCGAAUGGUAACAACCAGAAGGAAUAAUUUGGAAUCCGGUGAAAAUCCGGGACAGUACCUGCUGCUGUAAAUCCCUGAUUAUUAAUCCGAUGCACUCUCUGCCACUGGCCGUUAAAGGGACCGGGAAGGCGCAUGGGACGGGAUAAGUCAGAAGACCUGCCAAUGAUAU